GCGCACCAGGCGAGAAACCUUUACCAUGCACGAAAGUGUGAUAAGGUUGCCCGGAGUGCCCAGAGAAAACUAGUGGGCUGUUAUAGGUGUGUAGAUAACCCUAUGAGAAAGGAGAGGGCAAGGCUGGUGCCAGCCGCCGCGGUAAAACCAGCUCUUCAAGUGGUCGGGACUUUUAUUGGGCUUAAAGUGUCCGUAGCCUGUUUGGUAAGUUCCUGGUUAAAUAUGGCAGCUUAACUGUCACUUGGCUAGGAAUACUGCCUUACUAGAGGGUGGGGAAAGGUUUGGGGUACGUCCAGGGGGUAGCGGUGAAAUGCGAUAAUCCUUGGGGGACCACCAGUGGCGAAGGCGCCAGACUGGAACACGCCUGACGGUGAGGGACGAAAGCCAGGGGGAGCGAACGGGAUUUAGAUACCCCCUGUAGU
rnacentral:rRNA from 1 species